rnacentral:rRNA from 1 species
UCUAGCGGCGGACGGGUGAGUAACGCGUGGGAACGUGCCCUUUGCUACGGAAUAGUCCCGGGAAACUGGGUUUAAUACCGUAUGUGCCCCCCAUUAUAGUGAUGGCGGGGGAAAGAUUUAUCGGCAAAGGAUCGGCCCGCGUUGGAUUAGGUAGUUGGUGGGGUAAUGGCCCACCAAGCCGACGAUCCAUAGCUGGUUUGAGAGGAUGAUCAGCCACACUGGGACUGAGACACGGCCCAGACUCCUACGGGAGGCAGCAGUGGGGAAUCUUAGACAAUGGGGGCAACCCUGAUCCAGCAAUGCCGCGUGAGUGAUGAAGGCCUUCGGGUCGUAAAGCUCUUUUACCAGGGAUGAUAAUGACAGUACCUGGAGAAUAAGCUCCGGCUAACUCCGUGCCAGCAGCCGCGGUAAUACGGAGGGAGCUAGCGUUGUUCGGAAUUACUGGGCGUAAAGCGCACGUAGGCGG